UAAAUAAUGAAUAUUUCUCUGUGUGUGAAGAUUUCCCCUUCAUAUCUUUAUCAUUGCAGGUGACCGCUUGAAGAUGGCACUUUUAGACAAUAUUAAUUUCGUGCAUUUCUGUUACUUUCUGCCAUGAUGACGUUCAGUCCCACAUGAUGUUGGUCGGUGCAGAAACCCUGUAUUUGUUAAAUUUGUUUUAACGAAUGCUGUCUGCGUAAAAUCUGCAUUCGCUGUAAAUAUGAUAACUAGCAAACCACUGCAAACUGGAAACAUACAUGUAAAGUUUGACUGGCGAUAUGCUUAGGACAAAAAUAUUCCUAUAAAUUCUACAUGCAGUAAUAUUUCUUGGUAAACAUUUGUAAUAUUGCAAUGAUGCAGAACUGUGUAUGACAGAUUUGAAGACAUGUUAGUAGGUGAAAAUACGUACUUGUAUCAUAUAUCGUUGCAACGCUUACUUGGUCAAUAGUUUAGCAGUAUAUGAAGGUGAUACUGAAAUUGUUUGAUGUGGUAUGUACUGCAGUUUUGCAGUCUUAUCUCGAAUUCUGAUCCGAAUAAGGAUUAUAUAUUAUUCUAUCAUUUGUAUUUUAUGUUGUGUUGGAACAGGCAUUCACAUUAACCACGAAAGAAACUAAAUAUGUUGUUGGAGCCGAAGGCUGUUCGCUGUAUAUUACUUACCCAACUCCGCAAAAAUGCUGUGCGCCAGUUGGAUUUAAUGGUCCACAUGAUGGUAUGAGCACUGUUCUUUUUGUGAUACACUUAGUUUUUCUGUCGAGUUCUUUCUUUCACAGUUUUCUUCGAAAAAUUUUGCAAACCGUUUUGCUCACAUUUCAACACUUGCACCUGUUACUAACAUUUGGCUGUUGCGCAAUUCCUGGCACCAAUCGAUACAUGUAUCGAUUGUGAGUCGAGUUUUAGUAACGAAGUAUUCGCUAUAUCCGACAGAUGUCGCAAGUGUGUAGCACCCGAUUGUAUUGAUUGGUAUAAAACAUUGUGUUUGGACUUUGAACUGUGUGUGUGCCUUGGAUCUAAUUAAACAUUUUAUGUAUGCUGUACACAAUUAAUAACAAUAAUUGACAUCAUCUGCAAAACUGAGUGGAGACAGUCCAAAAAAAGAAAAAUGUGUUACAUAACCUCAAAAAAGUCUGUAUAAUUCAAAGAAAGACACCCAAGUAUUUCAGUAAGCUUUGCAGUAUAUUCUUGUGUGUGUGUGUAUUGUUCAUCAGGACAUGAGUUCAUGAAAUGACAAGUAUGUGUACAAUACUUAGAAUGAGAAUUGUAUGUAUGGUGCAUAGACAUUGAAAGUACUAAUUCUAAUUGAACUUGUUGAUGAUAUGACAAUAGAGUACAAACAGUACAUAAUAACAGACCAACUCGAUGACAAUGGGUCCCAGGCUCAUUGAAAAUUUUACUUUUUUUAAGUUGUUAUACUUUUUUGUAUCAAGCCAUGAGAACUGUAAAUGCUGGCUACAAAUGCAGAUCUACAAGUCAACUUCAAAUACCUCAUACUCUGUUAAAUUACUACAUCAAAAACAUACACAUCAUUAGAUUACAUGCAUACAUUUUUAUUUAAUUGCAUGGAUCUCUAAGUUAGUUGGAUGGUAGUAGGAUGUGUAAUAAGUCUGAAUAAUACAAGUACAAUUCAUACAGUUAUAAAGAUAUCACAUAGUAUCAGGGUUUACAUAAAAUACAAAUACAUCCACCCAUUACAUUCUUUUGAUACAUUAUACUACCCAUUAUAAUAUAUUAUGACCAGAAAACUUUAAGGAAUUAUUUGUAAUGUAUUAAUAACUGUACAUAGUUAUGCAGUUGCAAUACCAGGAACUCAAACUUAUCAUGUUUUAACCCAUUAAACUCCAGAGAGGUCA